UUAUCUGAACUAGCUGAGAGAAGUAGCAGGCCAGGAGACAAUGCCCUAAAUGGAUGUUUCCUAUGGUUAAUAGGACCAUAGUCUAGAAGCUCUGCUUCCAGAAAGCUCCUGACAAUCUUACCUCAGUCUUCAUCCCUGCUUGGCUCUGGCCCAUGUUCUUUGUGGCACUUGGAGGCCUCUGGUGACAGGUAGUAAAGGGACAGAUGUAAAACUGGGCCUGCUUUCUGCUGAAGGACAAGCUCAGAUUCCAAAGGGCAUCCCCAGGCUUGAGGGAGUAUAUGGGCUGAUCUGGACAAGAGGGAACUCUGUGCAGGAAGCACUGCACAGUUCUGAUGAAAACCUAACUUAGGAGCAUGAAUGACAUGGGGGCAGAUGAGGCAAAGUGUGUUGGGCCCAGCUGGAGGCUGUGGCCACAGCCUCCAAGCCACUGAGGCAGAGUAGAGCACAGCAGCCCAUGGGACCCACAGGGCAGGCUGAAAGCUACCACCAUCCUGAUUUCCUUCUCCAUGCCACUCAUUAUUUCUCCUUCCCAGUGUCUCCUCAAAGAUUGUGUUGAACAGUGUUAACCAUCAGUGUUUCACCUUGAAAGCAGAUGAAAUGGCAUCUCCUAUGGAGAACAUGCUGGGGGAGCAUUUGCCCCCCUAAGUUACACUUUUGAUCCUUGGGCAGCUAGGAUGCCCAUGCCUAGAUUCAGAGAUUUCCACCAUGCUUAAAACAGUUUGCUCUUGA
rnacentral:lncRNA from 1 species